rnacentral:rRNA from 1 species
CAGCAGCCGCGGGAAUACAGAGGGUGCGAGCGUUAAUCGGAUUUACUGGGCGUAAAGCGCGCGUAGGUGGUUCGCCAAGUUGGAUGUGAAAUCCCCGGGCUCAACCUGGGAACUGCAUCCAAAACUGGCGAGCUAGAGUAUGGUAGAGGGUGGUGGAAUUUCCUGUGUAGCGGUGAAAUGCGUAGAUAUAGGAAGGAACAUCAGUGGCGAAGGCGACCACCUGGACUGAUACUGACACUGAGGUGCGAAAGCGUGGGGAGCAAACAGGAUUAGAUACCCCCGUAGUCCCUGUCUCUUAUAC